GAUGAACGCUGGCGGCGUGCUUAACACAUGCAAGUCGAACGAUGAAGCCCAGCUUGCUGGGUGGAGUAGUGGCGAACGGGUGAGUAACACGUGAGUAACCGGCCCUUAACUCUGGGAUAAGCCUGGGAAACUGGGUCUAAUACCGGAUAGGAGCGUCCACCGCAUGGUGGGUGUUGGAAAGAUUUAUCGGUUUUGGAUGGACUCGCGGCCUAUCAGCUUGUUGGUGAGGUAAUGGCUCACCAAGGCGACGACGGGUAGCCGGCCAGAGAGGGUGACCGGCCACCCUGGGCCUGCGACACGGCCCAGAGUCCUACGGGAGGCAGCAGUGGGGAAUAUUGCACAAUGGGCGCAAGCCUGAUGCAGCGACGCCGCGUGAGGGAUGACGGCCUUCGGGUUGUAAACCUCUUUCAGUAGGGAAGAAGCGAAAGUGACGGUACCUGCAGAAGAAGCACCGGCUAACUACGUG
rnacentral:rRNA from 1 species